UACGGAGUGUGCGAGCGUUGUUCGGAAUCACUGGGCGUAAAGCGCGUGUAGGCGGCUUCGUAAGUCUGGUGUGAAAGCCCGGGGCUUACCCCCGGAAGUGCACUGGAUACUGCAAAGCUUGAGUACCGGAGAGGAAAGUGGAAUUCCUGGUGUAGCGGUGAAAUGCGUAGAUAUCAGGAGGAACACCGGUGGCGAAGGCGGCUUUCUGGACGGAUACUGACGCUGAGACGUGAAAGCGUGGGGAGCAAACAGG
rnacentral:rRNA from 1 species